GAAGGGCCGAGCCGACAGUCGGGAGGAAGAGGUGGGCAGCGGCGGCCUGGGCAAGCGGCGCCCCUACAGACCCUGCUCCGGGUGCUUCUCGGUGCUGAGUGAGGAGUCAAACGCUCCGGCCCGGAGCACUGGAGAGCUCGAGGAGGUUCAGCAACACCCAUGGCCCCCCAGGAGGAGCCACGGCAGGAGCGGCCGCGC